ACAGGGUUUCAUUCUGUCACCCAGACUGGAGUGCAGUGGCACGAUCAUGGCUCACUGUAGUCUCCACCUCCAGGUUCAAGCGACCCUCUCACCUCAGCUUCCUGAGUAGCUGGGACCAAGGCAUACACCACCAUGUCUGGCUAAUUUUUGUGUUUUUUAGUAGAGAUGACGUCUCACUCUGUUUUCCAGGCUGGUCAAGGGAGGAACUUUUAGAUAAUUAGAGACUUCAAUGUGAAACAUACAGCUACAAACUAAUGAAAAAAAUAGGAGAAUUUUUGAAUGGGAUUAAUACCUAGAAUAUACAAAGUACUCCUGCAAACCAACAAGAAAAAGACCCCACAUAUAGGAACCAUCGGAUCCCUGUGUACAGAUGAAGAACCGAGGCUUGGAAAGCUUAACUACCUUGCUCACAGUCACACAUUAAGGUCUAAAGUGAGAAAUUAAACCAAGUCUUCCAAUCUCAAAGACUUUAAAGGAAAAGCUACAAGCUACAAGACAUCAGCUUACAGCUUAUUCUUUGGGACUGGGAGCACAGCGAGAGGUCAUUGUUUCAUGGCAAUGCAACAAAAAGUGGAGAAGCCCUGCCUUACCAUUCAAAGCUGGAUCCCCUCUCCCUCCUCCGUUCACCCCAUGCCCCAUGCUUCUUGCCCUGAUGUGUCUCUGAAAGCAUCCUGAAGAAAUCAAUUGCAUGACCAGAGCUGGAAGUGUCUCUGGGAGCUGUUUAGUUCAACCUAUUUAUCAAAGCUGUUUAUCAAUGAGGAAGUGGGCUCAGCUAGUCAAACAGCUGCAAAAAAGGUCGGGGGGCUGGUUUACAUCUAGGAGGAAUUGUGGAGGACCAGUACCAGCCCGGAGUCCUCUGAACCCCAUAUUAGGUGGAAAAAUCAGUGACUCCACCGUUCACUGCAGGUCCAAGCACACAGCUCCACACGCCACCCUGAAGGAGAAAAAUAAGUGCUGCGGGCACAUUUCCAUUCUUUUCUUUCAAACACAAUCCUCUCUCCAAUCUGCCUGAAGAAGAAAGGCCAUGCACGAGCCACAGGUUACUUAUUUUCUGGAAGGAUAAACGUGGGCCUGUUUCCAGUGAAAGUGACUUCCAAGAAGCAUGAGCCUUCUUGAAUACUGACCCACUUCCGGAUGUGAUCCUGGCUGCGGCGGUUUCCAGAAUAUCAUCAGGGUAACUUUCCCGCUGUGCGGUCUAUGUUGGAACUUACAUCGUCUUUAAAAGGCACAAAUAGCUGAAUAACAUAAUGUAACCUGAUGUUCUGACAACCCCACUUAUACUCAGGCUAAAUUUAAAGGUCACCAUUGCAGGGAAAUAGUGGCAUGAGAAUAAAAGUGCCUUAAACAUG